rnacentral:lncRNA from 1 species
UGAGACAGGCUACCAUCUCUGCGUGCAAUCCCCGCGGAAUUUACGCACUUUCGUCUUGUGCUCUUAGAUGUUCUCCAG